ACGUAGGGAGCAAGCGUUGUCCGGAUUCACUGGGCGUAAAGAGCACGUAGGCGGUUAAUUAAGUCAGGUGUGAAAGUUUUCGGCUCAACCGGAAAAGUGCACUUGAAACUGGAUAACUUGAGUAUCGGAGAGGUAAGCGGAAUUCCUAGUGUAGCGGUGAAAUGCGUAGAGAUUAGGAAGAACACCGGUGGCGAAGGCGGCUUACUGGACGAUAACUGACGCUGAGGUGCGAAAGCGUGGGGAGCGAACAG
rnacentral:rRNA from 1 species